rnacentral:rRNA from 1 species
GAUGAACGCUGGCGGCGUGCCUAAUACAUGCAAGUCGAGCGAACAGACGAUGAGCUUGCUCCUUUGACGUUAGCGGCGGACGGGUGAGUAACACGUGGAUAACCUCCCUAUAAGUCUGGGAUAACUUCGGGAAACCGGAGCUAAUACCGUAUAAUAUAUUGAACCGUAGGGUUCAAUAGUGAAAGACGGCUUUUCUGGCACUUAUCGAUGGAUCUGCGCGGCAUUAGCUAGUUGGUAAGGUAACGGCUUACCAAGGCUACGAUGCGUAGCCGAACUGAGGGAGUGAUAGGCGGCACGAGAGCUGGAACAGGGUCAAGACGACUAAGGGAGGCAGCAGUAGGGAACCUUACGCAAUGGGCGAAAGCCUGACGGAGCAACGCCGAGUGAGUGAUAGAAGUCUUCGGUGCGUAAAACUCUGUUAUUAGGGGAAAACAGAUUUGUAAGGAGAUAUACACGUCUUGACGGUACCUAGUCAGAAAGCCACGGCUAACUACGUG